GGAUUUGGAAGCUGGGGCGGCAUCGGGACUGGAAAGACGAGCCUGGAAUCAUCAGGGCUCCUCCACCAUCUAACCUUUUCUCUAUGUGGUCUGUCCAGCAUGGUAGCUUCAGGGUCGCUAAACCUGUUUCUUACAUGUCAGAACUCUUUACAUAUGAAGGAUACUAACUGUCAUUUCGGUGGGUAAGAAGAGACAGAAGUUGACAGAGGGGAAGUCACUGCUCAAGGUACACAUCUAAGAAGAGGUGGAGCAGAAAUCUGAAACAAGAUCUUUCUAGAUCCAUGCCUUGGAGUGUGUACAGCCUCUGUGGAACCUUCCCCUCUCCCACAUCUUGCAUACUCCAUGAUUCAGGAACUCUGAGUUCCCACAGUCUCAGGAAGGGGAGAAACCUUUUGCCAGACCCAGCUACCCUUGCAAUGCCCCAGCAGCAAACCUACACUUUGAUUUGCUGUGUGGAUUAAAUAUUUGCACAGACUAGACACUCGGUAAACAGUGCUGUGCCGUGUGCUCCACACAGCUGCUCAGUCGUGUCUGACUCUUUGCGACCCCAUGGACUGUCGCCCGCCAGGCUCCUCUGUCCAUGGAAUUCUCCAGGCAAGAAGACUGGAGUGGGCUGCCAUUUCUUUCUCCAGGGGGUCCUCUCCACCCAGGGAUCGAACUCAUGUCUCUUGAGUCUCCUGUAUUGGCAGGUGGAUUCUUUACCACUGUGCCACCAGGGAAGCCCACACUUAAUAAACAAAAGCUGGCAUUAUUGCCUUUUUUUUGUUUUUU
ensembl:lncRNA